CCAAUGCCUUUAAACUAAACAAGAAGUAAUGGGGGAAGGGGGAGGGGCACACUAUGUAAUAGUUGAGCGAGCCAUCAGCAGAUUAGCAUUUUCUUGCGUUGAUUCGUACUGCCAUAGAACGAAGCGUUGCGUGAUUAGAACAGAACGUUGCAUCCAGCUUUGUGGAAAAUAUCUGCUGGGACAAAGUCUACUCAGUGUAACAGCAACAGGUCUUCCUGACCCCCCUGGCUCCAGUCUCGGUGUUGUUUCUCUGGUAAAAUCCCCAGUGCUUCUGACUUCAAGCUCCCUCGCUUACUAAGCUCCAGCUGGCUGACUCCAAGCUCCAAACCUCCAAGCAACCUGCAAGAGAACCUAGCCCACCCUCCAACACGAGUACAGAAACCUCCACCAAAUGUACUCACCUCACUCUGGCGUCGUCUAUCCUGGAAAGGCCAUCCUAACUUGUUUUCAUCCAAACCGUUCAUCUGAGGAUUUCAAGUCCUACCUGCAUGAACAGACAUCCAACGACCUCCCAGGCUCUGCUUUGUCUCCCCCCUCAGAUGACUUCCUUCUACUCCACUCUAAAGUCAAAGGCAAACCAACCAACAGCUUGAGCAGAUGGCAGCUCUACUACAACACACUCUGAACAGCCAGACCUCCCAGACAGGUGGCAGCACCGAGUCCCCGGUCUCACAGCAGCUUCCACAUUCCAAAGACAUGACUUCCCCAAACCCGGAAAAGUUUUCCGGAGAAGAUUGUCACCAGCAGAAUGGAACUAUGAUGUUGGAAACCGUGAGCUGCUCGCCAAUAAAUUGGCUCUGGAGGAAUGGCGCCAUUGGCUAGAGGGCGCUGCUCACCCCAUUCUGGUAUGGACUGAUCAUAAGAACCUGGCUUUUCUCCAGACAGCCAAACGUUUAAACUCUCGCCAGUCUCUGUUUUUCUCCCGUUUCAUCCUAACCAUCUCUUACAGACCAGGUUCUAAAAAUAUAAAACCAGACGCCCUCUCUAGACAGUUUUCCUCAGAUGAUGUGGAACAGGAACCAGCACCCAUCCUUCCUCCCAGCUGCACUGUUGGAACCAUCACAUGGGAGAUAGAAGAUCUGGUGAACCAGGCCCUGAGAUCAGAACCCGAUCCUGGUACAGGACCUCCCAACCAUACAUAAGUACUCUCCUCUGUCUGACCCCUUCGUCUCCCUCCCAGUCUCCGAAUUCAUCCUACUUUUCAUGUUUCACAGCUA